AUAAUCAUGUUGAUGUUCUCAAUAGCAUUGCAAACCUACUUUACCGGAAAACGACUUCAUUCACUUCGGGGGAAUACAACAUUGCAUCUUUUAUUUCUGCCGCGAACGAAAAAAACUUCGGUGGCAUAAAGUUCUCCAUCCAUUCAUGGGAGAACAACAGAACUUGGAUUUCAUUUAUUGACCCUACCAAGGAAUAUACUUUCUCUUUAUCGCAGAACUUGUGCAAAACUUUAGGGUACACACGUUGUAUCUUCCCUGGUAGUGGGAAUUACCCGUCAGAAAUGUCCCAAAUUGAUGUAGGUCGACCACCACAUAAUGAAUUAUGGACGUUAUUUUUUCAUAAAUGGACUACAAAGAAAAUUGUCACUACAGUAAAUUCAACUCUGGAGAAGUCAAUUGAAUGUCUCUCAAAUCAGACUGAUGGUGCAGUAAAAGUGCUUCUGUCAUGUGACGGAACUAAAUUUGCAAUCCAUAAGUCCAACUCAAGUUUGUAUUUACAAUUCACUGAAGACUUCAAUCUCCAAUUUGGUUUGGAUCCGGUAUUAAUUGGCUCCACAUUGACAAUUCUUGACAAAAAUUCCACAUCGGCACACCCCUUUACUCUCAAAGACGAAUGGAAUAAAUGCAGCAAAAAUCUUACCAUUGUUUCCUUGACUAGUUCAUCUGAAACAUUUAUGAAAGGAGACGCAAUUUCUCUCCUCGGUUUAAUUCAAAGUAUAAACCGCCGUUUUAUUAAAUCGCCAUUUUUUAUGAAUAUUACAAUCUCAAGUUCCAAAAAUCAACCAACUUCAAUAAUAACGUUUUUGGAUCAAUUCGAUAAAUAUAUAAUAACUUUCUCAGAAGAAUUAAGUCAAGUUUUGGGUAUUAACCAAACCCAGUUUCAUGCAAGUGGAGAAUAUACUGGGAGUACUUCAGCUGACGACGAAAUAUUCAAUGGGCUUGAUCCGGAUCAGGAAUUUAUUAUUACGCUUACUCAGAAAGCUAUACAGCGUAUCCAUAUCCCACCACCUCAAUACAUGUCGUAUCCCUCAACAGUGAAGACCAUAAACAACGCUCUACAAUCCUUUGGCUCGCACAAAAUUGCUUUAACUAUUUCUCAAGACUUUGAAAAUUUGGAGAUAAAUAUUUUCACAAAUUUAUCUGUGACUUUCUCCCCUUGCUUAAAUAAACUUUUUCACAUGAAACCAUUUGACUCCUUUACAAGUUCUUCAACAUCAAUUCAACUACCUCCGAUUCUCCUCCCCAAAGAUAUAAACACAACGCCACAAAUAAUCCCAUCAACUUCUCAAAAUGCAGAAGAGGAGGAGGAGUCAGGUACCGCCAUGGAUACAUCACCGGACGAUGCUGUUGAUGAUAAUACUAGUAUACAAGUGGAGGAUGAUGCUCGUAAAGUUCCAACUAGUCAAGACCAACGUAAAUGCUACACCAUAAUUAACGAAAUCCUUCCAACGAAGCGAUGGUUGAACACCCUUUCAAAAAAACAGUAUAUAGAAAUAGUACACCGAUGCGGUAAAAAAACAAAAAAAAGCAACUUGGACAAGAUGGAUGGUUACAUGACUUUGAUUGUUGACAUAGGAACUUAUAAAACGGAUUUCAUAAUACAACCAGCCUUAGUUUUUUCCAGCGAUUUAAGCAAGGUUGUACCAACUCGUCGAGUUUUACCCGAUGAAGCACUCGAGUGGUAUAUAGUUAUUGGAACCGCAGACACGGAGAAUGUGAAUCAAGAAAUAACCGAACCAUUUGUGGAACAUAUAUACAGCUCAGUAGCAGGCUAUAGCAACGCAAUUCCUUAUGAAAAUUAUCACCCUACUGCUAUACUGCUCCUAUACUUUAAAUUUAAGGAUCGUCGGAAGAUGAAGAGAUUUGCAUUGAGUAAGAGAACUUUAGGUGUCGACACAGAAUUCGUGCCAAUGCAACUAACUCCAGAUCUCUUGGCCUUAAUAAAGGAACAUGCGAUUGAUUUGUUUGUUUACGGGCAAGGAUGCGGGCCCACCCAUGGAAAAAUAAUUCAAAAGAUGUACGAGGGGUAUCCAGAGGAUCGUGUUGACAACAUAUUUGCAACUAGAACCGUUAUACCUUUUCACGAACAAGAUAUUUUGCAGACAUACAGUAGAUGCACCGAUAGCAUUCACCCAUUUCAAAUAUCAUCGUUUGCAGACACUGACGAAACACCAGGGGAAACAAAUAAGUGCUCUCCUAAUUCCGAAAUCAUAUAUGAAUUCGAUCUUAUUGGAAAGUCUUUAUAGUCGACCGCACAGAAGGCAAUACUCAAUGUUUGGGUUUCUUUGCGGCAAGGAAAAACGAACCCAUCUAUUCUAGAAGGUACUCCCAGGGAAGUGGCGGCUCGACUUGCAGGAGUAACAGAAGCCCGGCAGCCGUCACCUUACCAUAAACCAAUAAUUUAAGUACAAAAUUACUAUCUAUAGGUCCUCGUCUGAUUGUUAUGUCAGCCCUCACCGAAGAUGGUAUAAUCCCCGAACUUGUUCUCGUAUACAAAGUGUCAAAAUCCCAGACUGCAAGCGAUUAUCAUGACAAUGUAAAUACCCAAACGUUUCAAUCGUGGUAUAUAAAGUUGUUGGAUUAUCUCGACAGGACAAAUGAAAAAUGGAUCAUAAUAAUGGACAAUGCUUCAUAUCAUUCCACCAAAAUUUUACCAAGGAAAUCAGAAAGGAAAGAAGUUCUUUACAAUUUCUUGCAGAAAUAUACAACAAUGCCUGGUCUAAAUAUUAAAUUGCCCUCUGAUAUGAAAGCAAUAAGAAAAUUUGAGCUGGAAGAUAUGCUGGAAAAGUAGCUCGGUUGCCGGAAAUGCGGGAUGAAUUAUAUACAAUCGACAAAUUGACGAAACAGCGGGGUCACAGGGUUUUAAGGUUGCCACCUUACAACUGUGAUCUUAAUCCAAUCAUUAAGAUAUCUUUUGCAUGACCUAGAGGUGCUGGAAAGACACAAAACACAAUACCAAACGAAGGAAUCACAACAAAAACUUAGAUGACAUCAAGUUGAUAAUGCAAGAAGAAUUAAAGAAUUAUGACAAAACCCUAGCUAAAAAUCACUUUAAACAUACUAAGAGGUUAGAAAAUAAGUAUUGGGAGGAGGAUGGAAUACUAGAAGAAACACAUACUUCUCCAAUUAUAAUAACAGAAGAAGAUGAAGAUAGUGGUGAUGAAGAUAGCGAUCAAGAAGACUGCAUAGCGCGAGCUACAACUGUUGUAAUGGAGAAUGGCGACCAGGUUGAUCAUGGAGGAGACUUGUCCCUCUGGGAUUGCGACUGGGCGUACGACAUAUUUGAAAGGGAACUUGAGAUAGGAAAUUAUAUGGUAGACACAACAGCUACUCGUGGCAGAGGAAGAGGUAGAAGAGGCAGAUGCCGUCAGUGCCCACUUUAGAUGCACAAUAACAAAAAUCAUAAAUAUUUAUUUGCUAGAUUUUACGGUAACAAUUUUAUGUUGAGUGUAUUCAUUACGAGUUAGCACGUUCGUAUCGUAGCAUUUUGAAACAAAAAUGGAAAAUAAUUACCAGCCGUGCAGAUGCACAAGUUUGUAGAUGAAUUUUUAAGCCAAAAAUUUUGGAUGUUCAUUAAUAAUCUCUAGUGUUAUUUUAAAAUUUGUGUUGGAAUUCAAUUAUUCAAUAGCUUGUAAUUAAAUCUAACUUUGUAACCAGCAUUGUAAUUUUGUAAUUUAAGCAAUAUUGGGAACGAAAUUAUAAUUUGAAAUUUGCGUACCAAGUAAUUUAACGAGCUCUGACACAUGCUAAUAUCAAUUUUUUUGUUAUUUUGUAAACAUUUUUCGAAGUUAUCAUUAAUAAAAGUUAAUUGAUUGAACGCACGGACGCACAGCAAAGGUUAAAAUGCUCUAGUUAUAAAGAAAAAUUGGUUAAUUUGUAUAGUAAUUGUAAAUUGGUAAUAUAAUAAUGCAAGUAAAUAAAAAUUUAUAGUGCAAAAAUAA